AGAAAAUCUUUAAUAUCUUCUUUUUAAAGACUAUUUGGCCAGAAAAGCCUAAACUUGUGUAGAGGCAUCCUCGGAUAGUGUAAAUUCAAGUUUGCAAAAUCACAGUCCCUAGUGAUAGGGCUGGGCCGUGAUGGCGGUUUGAAUUUUUACAUAGGAAUAUAUAGAGAAAAAUCUUUAAAAAUAUUCUGGGAAAGUUUGCGGUCCAAAACUCAGUACUUAGUGUGAAAGCACAGGUUAUGCAGAUUUAAGUUUGAUGAAACCAUGAUUCCCUAGAGAAAAGGGGGGCCACGAAAUGGAGGGGGGGGGGGUAAAUUGGAAUAGAGAAAAAUCUUCUUACAGGUACAACAACAAAAGGGGCUUGGUAUUUACCCAAAAAAAGAGGUGGAUAAAAAUUGGCAGAUUUUCUAUUUUUUUUAGCAAGAUCUACUGUACUUAGUUGUCAAGAUAUUUUGAUAAUGUUAUGCUAAUUUGAUCAGAAUUAAGGCAAUUGUUGCUCAGGUGAGCGAUGUGGCCCCUGGGCCUCUUGUUUAUAUUGGAUUCUUAAUAUCUAAUUGGCAUUCAUAUUAUGUAUUUCCUUGGGUAAAACAGUUAAACUUGUGUGCACAAUAACACAGUUAUUAAUGAUGAGUUUAUUGAGGGAACCCUGCCUCUUUUUUGUCUGACCUUUGGCUGUGAUUUUCCUUUUCAGCCAGGUGUUUGGUUAGAAGGCGGAUAUUUUUACCAACUCCCUGGCAUUACCUCUACCCAGGAUACCCCAACUGAUCUCAAACCGAGGCUUAAUACUGUUCUUGUCUGGUCUAGAACUUCUUUGCUGUAACAUUUUUUAACACAAUGCCAUUGUAGUAUUUGCAUUUCAUAAUAAGUUUGUAAUUCUUAAUUUGUAUGAUUUAUUUUGCAAGUUUUCCCAGUUUAUUCAGCAUGAUGUUGAACUUUUAUGUAGUUCGAAAAUCGGGUAAGAAAUGCAUCUGGACUUUUUUUCAGACAGACAGAAUUUGUACAUUCUUCAAUAAUUUUCCAUUUUGGUUUAGACUCUCUAUUGGCAUUUGCUUGUGUGUGUGCGGAAGUUUAUAUAGAGUGCUAGAGUGUUAUUUAGAGAAAUCCAUUUUGUUCAGUUUUUUUGUGUGCCAAUUUGCAUGGACGUUGCUGCAGAAUUUAUGAAACAAAAUUUCAGAGAAAGAAAGAAAAUGCAGAAAAGAACUUAAACCAGUGAAAACUUUAGGAAAUAAAUGGAGUUGUCUUUCUUGAUUUUUUUAAUGCUAUAAACAGCAUAUUUUCAAAUAAAAUAUUUUUUUGCAUAAAUUGUUUAUUAUGUCAUUAUAAGUCUCCAGGGUCUGUCUAAAGACCUUUUACACAUUUAACUCCAACUGUUGAUUUUUGUUGAGAAUUUUUUUUCUUAUAUUUUGAUGUUGUACUUGAACGGCUUCUUCUUUGACACAUUUUUUCAUGCAUGUUUUAAACAUGAAUAUUAUGUAUACGAGUUACAAAAUGGAAUAAACACAAAGCAGUG
rnacentral:misc_RNA from 1 species